UGAAGAACGCAGUGAAAUGCGAUAAUUAAUGUGAAUUGCAGAAUUCAGUGAAUCAUCGAGUCUUUGAACGCACAUUGCGCCCCCUGGUAUUCCGGGGGGCAUGCCUGUCCGAGCGUCAUUGCUGCCCUCAAGCACGGCUUGUGUGUUGGGCUUCCGUCCCUGGCAACGGGGACGGGCCCAAAAGGCAGUGGCGGCACCAUGUCUGGUCCUCGAGCGUAUGGGGCUUUGUCACCCGCUCCCGUAGGUCCAGCUGGCAGCUAGCCUCGCAACCAAUCUUUUUAACCAGGUUGACCUCGGAUCAGGUAGGGAUACCCGCUGAACUUAAGCAUAUCAAUAAGCGGAGGA
rnacentral:misc_RNA from 1 species